rnacentral:lncRNA from 1 species
UGAGGAUAAGGAACAUGGUGUUGCAGUUCAAACCAGUUCCAGCCAAAAUGGACUCUCGUCACAAACAAAUAGUAAUAACAAUCCAAACUUGUGGCUAAAUAGAGUUCUGAAGUUUUGAGAAAGAGGUAUAAUACACAACACAAGUAUAAGGAUAUAGUCAAUAAUAACUCUGGGAGUAAGAACACAUUAUGAACAGUGAAGACAUUGACAAACCUCCGGGACCUUUGAUUUGUGCUAUAAAGUAUACUAUGAUCAGCCCUGAUUAAUACACAAGAGAAAACUAGAAGAUAGGUAACCAAGAUCAAUAAAACUAUUUUUAUGAGCAUAUAUGUUAUUUUACUUAAAUAAAUUUUAAGAUGGCAAA